rnacentral:rRNA from 1 species
UACAGAGAGUGCAAGCGUUGUUCGGAAUUAUUGGGCGUAAAGGGCGCGUAGGCGGUGCUGUAAGUCUGUGGUGAAAUCUCUGGGCUCAACCCAUAGUCUGCAUCGGAAACUGUCGGGCUUGAGUAUGGGAGAGGUGAGUGGAAUUUCCGGUGUAGCGGUGAAAUGCGUAGAUAUCGGAAGGAACACCUGUGGCGAAAGCGGCUCACUGGACCAUUACUGACGCUGAGGCACGAAAGCUAAGGGGAGCAAACAGG